rnacentral:misc_RNA from 1 species
GUGAGUCAUCGAAUCUUUGAACGCACCUUGCACCCUUUGGUAUUCCGAAGGGUAUGCCUGUUUGAGUGUCAUUAAUAUCUCAACCUUAUAGCUUUGCUGUAAGGCUUGGACUUGGAGAUUGCGGGCUACUUGUAGUCGGCUUCUCUUAAAUGUAUUAGCGGAUGCCUGCUGUGCAUCAGUAUCGGUGUGAUAAUUAUCUACGCCUUGUCAAUCUGAUCACAAUUCUUAUGGCUCAGCUUCUAAUCGUCUCUUGUAGACAAUUUUCCUGACAUUUGACCUCAAAUCAGGUAGGAUUACCCGCUGAACUUAAGCAUAUCAAUAAGCGGAGGA